AUUGAACGCUGGCGGCGGGCUUAACACAUGCAAGUCGAGCGGGGGAAGGUAGCUUGCUACCGGACCUAGCGGCGGACGGGUGAGUAAUGCUUAGGAAUCUGCCUAUUAGUGGGGGACAACAUCUCGAAAGGGAUGCUAAUACCGCAUACGUCCUACGAGAGAAAGCAGGGGAUCUUCGGACCUUGCGCUAAUAGAUGAGCCUAAGUCGGAUUAGCAAGUUGGUGGGGUAAAGGCCUACCAAGGCGACGAUCUGUAGCGGGUCUGAGAGGAUGAUCCGCCACACUGGGACUGAGACACGGCCCAGACUCCUACGGGAGGCAGCAGUGGGGAAUAUUGGACAAUGGGGGGAACCCUGAUCCAGCCAUGCCGCGUGUGUGAAGAAGGCCUUAUGGUUGUAAAGCACUUUAAGCGAGGAGGAGGCUACUCUAGUUAAUACCUAGGGAUAGUGGACGUUACUCGCAGAAUAAGCACCGGCUAACUCUGUGCCAGCCGCCGCCGUAA
rnacentral:rRNA from 1 species